UACAUGGGGUGCAAACGUUGCUCGGAAUUAUUGGGCGUAAAGCGCACGUAGGCGGUCCGUUAAGUCGGAUGUGAAAGCCCCCGGCUCAACCGGGGAAGUGCAUCCGAAACUGGCAGGCUAGAGUACGAAAGAGGGUCGCGGAAUUUCCGGUGUAGAGGUGAAAUUCGUAGAUAUCGGGAGGAACACCGGUGGCGAAGGCGGCGACCUGGGUCGAUACUGACGCUGAGGUGCGAAAGCGUGGGGAGCAAACAGG
rnacentral:rRNA from 1 species